UACGUAGGUGGCAAGCGUUGCUCGGAAUCACUGGGCGUAAAGGGCGCGUAGGCGGGACGCCAAGUCGGUCGUGAAAUCUCCGGGCUCAACCCGGAGGAGUCGGCCGAAACUGGUGUUCUUGAGGGAGGCAGAGGAGUCUGGAAUUCCCGGUGUAGCGGUGAAAUGUGUAGAGAUCGGGAGGAACACCGGUGGCGAAGGCGGGACUCUGGGCCUACCCUGACGCUGAGGCGCGAAGGCGUGGGGAGCAAACGGG
rnacentral:rRNA from 1 species